AUGAUGAGGGAUAAAUUUGAGGCUGAAGUGAAAAUCAAGGAGGACCAGAUUGCCGAUUUGCAGGAGGCCCUAAAGACCCAGCAGGCUGAAACAGAUAAGGCAAAGCAAGAAUUGACCAGCGCUUUGAGCACUGCUGAACGGCUGAAAGAAGGCUUCAAGAAAGAGCGGGCUGACUGGGCCACUGAGAAGGCCGGUUUAACCAAAAGAGCAGAAAACACUGAAGCGGCCCUUAAACCGGUGGUGGAUGAACUGACGGCCGUACAGCGGCAAAUACACUCUAUGACUGCUGCAAUCUUUAGCACACGUAUUGGGCACUUAGGAAAUGAUGUGCGGAAGAAAUUGAAAGCUGCCUACACCUUGGUGGAACAAUUGUAUACCGGAGCCCAACGGAUCAUCACCACAGCUUCCUACAACAACCCGGCGCCCUCUUUAAUCCAGGACACUCUUAGCAAGCUGUCAAUGCUUCCAGCCCGGAUUGAGGAGCUGAAAAAAUCCGCUGCCCGAACCGGAGCCAUCAAUGCCUUAAUCCGGGCAAAGGCAUGGGUGCCCGACUUUGAUCCUGUGGAAGCAGCUCAAGGCUAUCCCAGUCUGAAAGAAGAUGGCUCUGAAUUCAACGAAGAGGAUUUAAGGGCCAUAAACCGUGCAGUGCGCCCGCUGGCUUGCCAGCUAGCUGAAGAGGCUGAUUUGAUGCAUUAUCAAGCGGAAUAUAAUAAUCAAAACAAGCGAGUGCCGGCCCCAACUGUUGAAGCGGAUAAUCUGAUUCCUCCAACCCGUAACCACACUUACGCCCCUGAUAUUGAACCGUCUUCCCUGAUCCAUGAAGAGGCUGUUUUCCAAGCUUUAAUGGGAAUCGACUGGACCACUGUUGAUUUCCAGCCAAUGGGUAGAGACGAGGAAGCUGAAGCGGCGGAGGAUGAGGAGCAGGCUUGA
rnacentral:rRNA from 1 species